CAGUAGCCGCGGUAAUACAGAGGUCUCAAGCGUUGUUCGGAUUCAUUGGGCGUAAAGGGUGCGUAGGUGGCGGUGUAAGUCUAACGUGAAAUCUCGGGGCUCAACCUCGAAAUUGCGUCGGAUACUGCAUUGCUAGAGGAUCGUAGAGGAGAGUGGAAUUCAUGGUGUAGCAGUGAAAUGCGUAGAUAUCAUGAGGAAGACCAGUUGCGAAGGCGACUCUCUGGGCAAUUCCUGACACUGAGGCACGAAGGCUAGGGGAGCAAACGGGAUUAGAUACCCCCGUAGUCCCUGUCUCUUAUAC
rnacentral:rRNA from 1 species